rnacentral:rRNA from 1 species
UACGAAGGGGGCUAGCGUUGUUCGGAAUUACUGGGCGUAAAGGGCGCGUAGGCGGCCCGCUAAGUCGAACGUGAAAUCCCCGAGCUCAACUCGGGAACUGCGUCCGAUACUGGUGGGCUUGAAUCCGGGAGAGGGAUGCGGAAUUCCAGGUGUAGCGGUGAAAUGCGUAGAUAUCUGGAGGAACACCGGUGGCGAAGGCGGCAUCCUGGACCGGCAUUGACGCUGAGGCGCGAAAGCUAGGGGAGCAAACGGG